rnacentral:rRNA from 1 species
UACGUAGGGGGCAAGCGUUGUCCGGAUUUAUUGGGCGUAAAGAGCGUGUAGGCGGCCAGGUAGGUCCGCUGUGAAAACUCGAGGCUCAACCUCGAGAUGUCGGCGGAAACCAUCUGGCUAGAGUCCGGAAGAGGAGAGUGGAAUUCCUGGUGUAGCGGUGAAAUGCGCAGAUAUUAGGAGGAACACCGAUGGCGAAGGCAGGUCUCUGGGCCACUACGUGACGCUGAGAAGCGAAAGCAUGGGGAGCGAACAGG